UAAUUAUAAUAGAGAUACAUAGAUUCUCAAAAUAAAAGCUACAUAAAAAGCAAUUUUUUAAAAGUGAAAAGGAAAAAUACCAACAGAAAAAAAACCAAAGUAUAUCAUUGCAGUAUAAGAGUUACAAUUCUAUAGAUACUUAUCUAAUACACAAGCACACAUAUAUUAAUUUCUAAUACAUUUAUAUAACUAUCAUUCAUCUUUAAACAACUCCAUUUUGUAAAACUGAGUUCCAUGUUUCAUUAUACUUGACUAUACAAAGUUCUACAUCUACAGACAAACUACUCAUAGAUGGCAAAUUUAACCAGGUCUUCAGUCUAUUGAGUCAUUACAUUUAUCCUUCCAAUAUUGCAAUAUCAGUGUUUUGGUCACAGGAAGGGCACAAAGAAUACAUUUAUAUUCUAAUACCCAUGUGGUAGGCAUGUAAAUUAAAAUAAUGACCUCUUAAAAUUUAAGAAAAGGUAAUAUAACAUGACAGUGGUGAGACAGUCCAUCAAAUAAAUAAGCUGUUGCAGAUGAAGUUUAAUGCUAUUAAAUGCAGCUGAAAUUUGCAAGAAUUACAACAAUCCUAUUGUAAGACGACAAAGGGGAAUAAUGUGGACACACAAGUCAGUGACAAUGCUGAAUCAACACAGCUAUUGUGGAUAAAGAACCUUAAGUGACUUCCCAGUGCAUUUUAAUUUGGAUCUGCAUUGUUUUUUGUAAUAAAUGCCUUAACCCUGGAAUCGUAAAGGGAGGUCCGAAAUUAGAUUCCACCGAUUACAAAGUUUGGAAUUUAGUGGAUACUCAGAUCUGCUUGUAUUUCUUUUCUAUUUUGGUUUUGAAUCAGUGACAAAUUUUGUUUUAUUCUGUUUUUAUUUUGGUGUUUAGGUUUACUAAGUAGUUCAGGCGAAAGUAUAACUGCUUCCAUGAAAAUGUAUAUGCCCCUUUUUCUUUCUUUUCUUUCUUUUUGCAAAGUAUUGACACUAUUUUACUGUAAGAGUUUCAUGUGGAUACUGAAUAUUUCUCAGGAAAAAUGGCGGAGGUCCUUUUAUUAAAAAAAAAAAAAAGAUAAUGGAUUUAUCACUUAGAAAUAUAGUCCAUCUAAAUUGCAAUCCUUAUCUCCUUUGAACAAACUAAACCUUACCUCAAAAGAUACUUAAGUGGUCAAUCUUUUUCCCGUAACUUUAGAAAGAGGAACACUAAAGAUGGGAAAAUCCAUUAGCCAUCACCACCAAAGGAGCUGGUUUUCCUGGUUCCCAUAGCCAACCAUUUGUACCAGCUUCCCUGAGAGAAGGAUCCUAGAUAUCUGUUAUUUUAAAAUAAUGUAUAUUGUGCUUUUAAUUACAAUUGCUCAUAUAACUUUAAAUUACUUUAUACAGGGUAUUCAUUUUGAAAGGUGGUUCACAGCCUGCAAUUAGUUGAAAUAAAAAAGAUGCGACCUUUAAGUGGCUGGCCAUAAUGUUUGGUUUGAAUGUAGCAGUGGGUAAGGUUAAUAUUGGUGGGGUCUGGAAAAAAAUAGCACUACUCAUCCCAAACUGAGUGGGGGACGGACGGACCCCAAAAUAAAUAUCAAAUCAAGAAGUGGAACUCUUAAAGAAUGGCUUGGCUCUAUCAAGCUGCUAAGCUAUUAUACAGUAAGUUCUGGAGAGCCAGUGUGGUUUCAAUUUCACCAUACCAGUUACCAGCUUAACCUUUUUGAAUUAUAACGUAACACAAACUCUAUUUGUGAUACAGAUGUAACUAGGUAGUUUAUUAAAUAAGUCUCCAGACUAUUUCAUAUGCAUUACAAGUAACUGACAGCUGGCAGAAAUGUGGGGAAUAUUUUCCGUUUCCCUAAAUAUGCCAUUCAUAUCACAGCAAGGCAAUUAAAGUUGAAGGUCAGAAGAGAUGGAAGAGAAGCGCUCUGGAUCCAAUAAUAGUCUUCCUGCCUCCAUUUUCUUGACCUCAAGCUCAGAUUUCACCACCACCACCACCCCAUCCUCAAAUGGAAUAGUAAAGCUAACAUAGUAACUGGAGGUUAAAUUGAAUGAUUAAAAAAAUAUCAGUUUCAAGUGAUUCAAAGAGUGGCUGGUCAGGUAUCUACUUAGUGAAAUCAGGAACAUCUGGCUGACUCAGAUGAUGGCCUUGAAUUAAAUUCAGAAGCUAUUCCUUUACAGCAAGGCUCUUCAAACUUGACAGCUUUAAGACUUGGGGACUUCAACUCCCAGAAUUCCUCGAGACAU